rnacentral:rRNA from 1 species
UUACGCUGUUAUCCCUAAGGUAACUUACUCUAGCAAUCACUAAAAAUGGAUCUAAAAAUCAUACAUCAAUGGUAAAUAAAUGAAAAAGUUAAUUAUAUAUUUUUGUCACCCCAACAAAAUAUAAUUUUACUACAAUUAUGUUAAUAUAUAAAUAAAUACAAAAAAUUAUAUAAAGAUCUAUAGGGUCUUCUCGUCUUCCAAUAUUAUUUUAGCUUUUUAACUAAAAAAUUAAAUUUUAAAACAAAUAAAAUGAGACAGUCAAUUCCUCGUUAAACCGUUCAUUCCAGCCCUCUAUUAAAAGACUAAUGAUUAUGCUACCUUUGCACGGUCAAUAUACCGCGGCCGUUAAAUUCAUCACUGGGCAGGUCAGACCUUAAAUUAAAUUCUAAAGGCC